UACGGAGGGGGCUAGCGUUGUCCGAAGUUACUGGGCGUAAAGCGCGCGUAGGCGGGUUGGUAAGUCCGCUGUGAAAGCCCGGAGCUCAACUCCGGAGGGUCGGUGGAUACUGCCAGUCUUGAAGGUGCUAGGGGGGAGAUGGAAUUACCGGUGUAGCGGUGAAAUGCGUAGAUAUCGGUAGGAACACCAGUGGCGAAGGCGGUCUCCUGGGGCAUUCUUGACGCUGAGGCGCGAAAGCUGGGGGAGCAAAUGGG
rnacentral:rRNA from 1 species